CCUACAUGCUCCAUACAGGAGCCUUCAUUUCAAGUUCCUUCGAUAAUUUCUCUGAUUUUAUGUUUAAAUUUUGUUGAUUUAUUAACCCCUAUUCUGUGAAUGGAGGAGGUAGAAGAGGAUGCCGGUCCUCUAUUCUGUGAAGAAAAAAAAUCUUCAAGAAGGCUGAAGGUGGAUAAAAGUUAUAUUUUUCAUAUGAAAGAAGGAUAACCUUUCUUUACGCAAAUCCAAUCCACUUUAUGUCAUCCAUGCACAGCUCUAAAAGCUGUCCAGAAUCUGUCAUGAUGAAGAGAUAACAAUAGAUGACAGUAGUUUACGGGCA
rnacentral:lncRNA from 1 species